ensembl:lncRNA
UAGGACCUCACUUCAAUUACAUCCAUAAUGGACCUACUUUCAAAUAUGAUCACAUUCUGAGGGUCUCCGUUGCUCAUCCCGCGGGUUGGGACAAACUGGCGCCCAACGUGAGAGCUCAAGUACGAGGGACACAGUGAGGGACGCCGUCGAGGUCAGCUGGCACGGAAGGAUUAAGAAACCCAGAGGAAAGCAUCAUGGGAACCUGCCAAGGACUCGCACUCUGAAACAUGUGGAGCUUAAUAUUGAUAUCCCUGUUAAUCACUCUCAUACCUACGACUGACAGCAGAUUUGGAUCACAAUAUUAUGUAAGAUCAACUUGACUCCCUAGCCGAAGUAGUCCUGCAAAACUGACGAGGCCUAGAUCUGCUCACCGCCCAGAAAGGAGGAGUGUGCCUUAGAUAAAAAAAUGCUGCUUUUAUGCUAACGGUUCUGAUGUUGUCAGAGAUAAGAUAAAAGCCCUGCAAAAAGACCUGGCAAAAAAGAAGAAAAGCACUCUUCGAUAAUCCAUUGUGGGGAGGGUUGAAUGGGUUCCUCCCCUAUAUCCUCCCCCUCCUUGGCCCUUUUGUCAUUUUCCUCCUACUCCUCACUGUUGGACCUCUUAUAUUCAACAAGGUCAUGGCUUUUGUCAAACAACAGAUUGACUCCAUAAAAAUGCAGCCCCUACAGGUCCAUUAUCAUAAGCUGGAAAUGGCUGACAGGGAAAUGGAGUUGGAUCAAGGCUACGGUGGAUGUUUGAUAAGCACCACCAACCAUUUCUGACAUCGCCUGAUGAACUGGACCAGUUAGCCAAUGACGGGCAACCUGAGAGCCUAGCAGUAAGAUGCUCCUGCCUAAGACAGGGGACCGGGAUAUGAAUCCCGCUCACCCUAUGACGGGGUGCUGCUGCAUCAGAAGUAUUAUGGAUGAGGAGCGACGUGGUCUGACUACACCCAGUGCAUCAAGGGGCUUUUAUCUCCCAAGCAUUGAGGACAUACAGCAAUAAAAAUCACUCCAUGUUCCGAGAACCUGGGCAGAGCCUGAAGCAUUCCAUGAUCUCUGCCCUGCAAGGCUUUUCUCCUCCUUGCCAGCCCCCAUCUGCAAAUACCCUCCCAGAUCUUGUGAGCAGAGAUUGCCUCCCUUCUCAGAGAUCUUUGCACAAGCCUUCUUUAUGAGACCCUCAUGCAGUCUCCAUGUUGAGAAGGCAUUCAUGGGACCAGAGCAGUAUUCCUUGCUCUGCAACCACCCUGCAGUGUUCCCCAAUGUUACUGCACUCUCAGAUGGUCUUUACCUUAGGCCUCCUAUUGCUGCUUGAUUUCUAAUUAACUGCACCAAUAAUAUAAUUUAGUUUGGUGUAUAAACUUCAGUGUACUCUGAGCCAAGCAAACUUACAAUUAUUUAGCUAGAAUUAACAUAGUUCUCCCGUGGGCCAUCUUGACCCACAUCUGUCUCCAUGAGUUCAAUUAUUUUAAUGUUUAGUUAACACAAAUAAGUGAGAAUAUGUGAGGUUUGUCUUUCUGUGUCUGUCUUAUUUCACUUAACAUAAUGACCUCCAGUUCCAUCCAUGUUGUUGCAAAUGACAGGAUCUUAUUCUUUCUUUAUGACUGAAUAGUUCUCCAUUGUGUAUAUGUACCACACUCUGUUUAUCUAUUCAUCUGUUGAUAGACACUUAGGUUGCUUGCAAAUCUUGGCUAUUGAGAAUAGUGCUGCAACAAACAUGAGAGUGCAGGUAUCUCUUUAAUGUACUGAUUUCUUUUCAUUUUGGUACAUACCUAGGAGUGUGAUUGCUGGAUCAUAUGAAUUACCAUUAGCUAUUAGUAUUGUAUUUUUCCAAUGUUGAAGUGUGUGAUCAAUAGGAAUAAACUACACAGAAGUCUGACGAAUGGAUCAGAGAGCAUAAUGGAGUCAAGCAAAUAUAUGUGGCUAACUUAAA